rnacentral:rRNA from 1 species
GAUGAACGCUGGCGGCGUGCCUAAUACAUGCAAGUAGAACGCUGAAGGAGGAGCUUGCUCUUCUGGAUGAGUUGCGAACGGGUGAGUAACGCGUAGGUAACCUGCCUGGUAGCGGGGGAUAACUAUUGGAAACGAUAGCUAAUACCGCAUGACAACAGUUAUUGCAUGAUAACUGUUUAAAAGGGGCAACUGCUCCACUACCAGAUGGACCUGCGUUGUAUUAGCUAGUUGGUGAGGUAACGGCUCACCAAGGCGACGAUACAUAGCCGACCUGAGAGGGGGAUCGGCCACACUGGGACUGGGACACGGCCCAGACUCCUACGGGAGGCAGCAGUAGGGAAUCUUCGGCAAUGGACGGAAGUCUGACCGAGCAACGCCGCGUGAGUGAAGAAGGUUUUCGGAUCGUAAAGCUCUGUUGUAAGAGAAGAAAGAGUGUGAGAGUGGAAAGUUCACACUGUGACGGUAUCUUACCAGAAAGGGACGGCUAACUACGUG